rnacentral:rRNA from 1 species
GGCUGAAACUACGCCUACAUGAAGCUGGAGUUGCUAGUAAUCGCGAAUCAGCAUGUCGCGGUGAAUACGUUCCCGGGCCUUGUACACACCGCCCGUCACACCAUGAGAGUUGGCAAUACCCAACGUACGUGAUCUAACCCGCAAGGGAGGAAGCGUCCUAAGGUAGGGUCAGCGAUUGGGGUGAAGUCGUAACAAGGUAGC